CUGCAGGCUCAACCUCCUGGGCUCAAGCAAUCCUCCCACCUCAGUCUCCAGAGUAGAGAUGAAGUUUUGCCAUAUUGCCCCAGACUGGUCUCAAACUUCUGAGCUCAAGCAAUCUGCCUGAUUCAGCCUCCCAAAGUGCUGAGAUUCCAGGUGUGAGCCAUUACACCUGGAAAAAAGAGGCUGCCUUUUUCAUCUCUCCUGUUUUCGAGAUUUUUGAUGCUGCCAUGCCCUCUCCCAUUUUUUUGCCCCUAUGGUUUAUACCUUUAAGACAAAGUUCAUUGUCUUUUGUUUUAAUGAGGAGCUGGAAGAGAACAAAAGAAGAAAGCACAUGUGUUUAACGCUAUCUAUCUGGUGAGGAAACAUACCAUCUGCAGCACCAAGUCUAACAACAUAUAACCG
rnacentral:lncRNA from 10 species